ensembl:antisense Gm37634 predicted gene, 37634
GAAAGCCUUUAAGUAAGCAAGUUUCAGGGCUACAGAGAGUAACCCUGUCUUGAAAAACCAUAAACAAGAACCACAGGUAGUGGUGGCACAUGCUAAUCCCAGCACUUAGGAGGCAGAGGCAGGCGGAUUUGAGUUCAAGGCCAGUCUGGUCUACAGAGUGAGUUCCAGGACAGUCAGGAUGUAGAACUCUCAGCUACUUCUACAUCAUGUCUGUGUUUGCCACCAUGCUUACAGCUAAAACUAUAAACCAGCACCAACUAAAUGCUUUCUAAAGAGCUGCUUUGGUUGUGGUGUCUCCUCACAGCAAUAGAAUAGUGGUUAGGACAGCUGCAUUGUCAGUCCUGUUUUACAGUAUUUCAAAUCACAUAUCUGCCACAAAUGUAACCUCAUGAUUCUGGCAACAAGAGAUCUGUGAGACAGCCAGGACAAGUGUCAUUCACAUUAUAUAAGCAGCUGGGGCAGCUAAGAGACAUUUGUAGCUUGCUUAAGGUACAACACAAUAGAAUUCUGUUACUUGUAAUUUUUUUUUUUUUGAUCCUACUAUACUACUUUGAACAUUAUAUUGAUGGCUGAAAGAUUACCACAAAGUUUAAUUUAUGGUUCUAAUGAGGCUAGAUGAACUGAAACCUUGCUGCAUUAACUGGCCAGUGUAC